UACGAAGGGGGCUAGCGUUGCUCGGAAUCACUGGGCGUAAAGCGCACGUAGACGGAUCUUUAAGUCAGGGGUGAAAUCCCGGAGCUCAACUCCAGAACUGCCUUUGAUACUGGGGAUCUCGAGUCCGGAAGAGGUGAGUGGAACUCCGAGUGUAGAGGUGAAAUUCGUAGAUAUUCGGAAGAACACCAGUGGCGAAGGCGGCUCACUGGUCCGGUACUGACGCUGAGGUGCGAAAGCGUGGGGAGCAAACAGG
rnacentral:rRNA from 1 species